GGAUUCCUACGGGGGGCAGCAGUGAGGAAUAUUGGUCAAUGGCCGAGAGGCUGAACCAGCCAAGUCGCGUGAGGGAUGACGGCCCUACGGGUUGUAAACCUCUUUUGUCGGGGAGCAAGACCCGCCUCGUGCAGGCGGAGCGAGAGUACCCGAAGAAAAAGCAUCGGCUAACUCCGUGCCAGCAGCCGCGGUAAUACGGAGGAUGCGAGCGUUAUCCGGAUGUAUUGGGUUUAAAGGGUGCGCAGGCGGCACGGCAAGCCGGCGGUCAAAUCGCGGGGCUCAACCCCGCCCAGCC
rnacentral:rRNA from 1 species